UAGGGAAUCUUGCGCAAUGGGCGAAAGCCUGACGCAGCAACGCCGCGUGGGGGACGAAUGCUUUCUGAGUUGUAAACCCCUUUCAGCAGGGACGAUUGUGACGGUACCUGCAGAAGAAGCGCCGGCCAACUACGUGCCAGCAGCCGCGGUGAUACGUAGGGCGCAAGCGUUGUCCGGAUUUAUUGGGCGUAAAGAGCUCGUAGGCGGUUUGGUAAGUCAGGUGUGAAAUCCCCAGGCUCAACCUGGGUUUGCCACUUGAUACUGCCAUGACUUGAGUCCGGUAGGGGACCAUGGAAUUCCAGGUGUAGCGGUGAAAUGCGCAGAUAUCUGGAGGAACACCAGUAGCGAAGGCGGUGGUCUGGGCCGGUACUGACGCUGAGGAGCGAAAGCGUGGGGAGCGAACAGGAUUAGAUACCCGUGUAGUCC
rnacentral:rRNA from 1 species